rnacentral:rRNA from 1 species
AACGAACGCUGGCGGCGUGCCUAACACAUGCAAGUCGAGCGCGAAAGUCCCCUCGGGGGCAAGUAGAGCGGCAGACGGGUGAGUAAUACAUAGGUAAUCUACCCCCGGGAUCGGGAUAACCCUGCGAAAGUGGGGCUAAUACCGGAUAAGACCACGCAGCUUAAGUUACGUGGUAAAAGGUGGCUUGUAUUUAUACUAGCUAUCACCUGAGGAUGAGCCUUUGGCCUAUCAGCUAGUUGGUAAGGUAAAAGCUUACCAAGGCUAUGACGGGUAGCUGGUCUGAGAGGACGACCAGCCACACUGGGACUGAGACACGGCCCAGACUCCUACGGGUGGCAG